GUGGGGAAUAUUGGACAAUGGGCGAAAGCCUGAUCCAGCCAUGCCGCGUGUGUGAAGAAGGUCUUCGGAUUGUAAAGCACUUUAAGUUGGGAGGAAGGGCAGUAAGUUAAUACCUUGCUGUUUUGACGUUACCGACAGAAUAAGCACCGGCUAACUUCGUGCCAGCAGCCGCGGUAAUAAGAAGGGUGCAAGCGUUAAUCGGAAUUACUGGGCGUAAAGCGCGCGUAGGUGGUUUUGUAAGUUGGAGGUGAAAUCCCCGGGCUCAACCUGGGAACUGACUCCAAAACUGCAUGACUAGAGUACGGUAGAGGGUAGUGGAAUUUCCUGUGUAGCGGUGAAAUGCGUAGAUAUAGGAAGGAACACCAGUGGCGAAGGCGACUACCUGGACUGAUACUGACACUGAGGUGCGAAAGCGUGGGGAGCAAACAGGAUUAGAUACCCUUGUAGUCC
rnacentral:rRNA from 1 species